CACCGGCGGCUCGAGUGGUGGCCACUUUUAUUGGGUCUAAAGCGUCCGUAGCCGGCUUGGCAAGUCCCCUGGGAAAUCUGGCGGCUUAACCGUCAGGCGUCCAGAGGAUACUGCCAGGCUUGGGACCGGGAGAGGUGAGAGGUACCUCAGGGGUAGGGGUGAAAUCUUGUGAUCCCUGAGGGACCACCAGUGGCGAAGGCGUCUCAUUAGAACGGGUCCGACGGUCAGGGACGAAAGCUGGGGGCACGAACCGG
rnacentral:rRNA from 1 species